rnacentral:rRNA from 1 species
GAUGAACGCUCGCGGGAGGCCUAACACAUGCAAGCCGAGCGGUAUUGUUUCUUCGGAAAUGCGAGAGCGGCGUACGGGUGCGUAACACGUGUGCAACCUGCCUUUAUCUGGGGGAUAGCCUUUCGAAAGGAAGAUUAAUACUCCAUAAUAUAUUGAACGGCAUCGUUUAAUAUUGAAAGCUCCGGCGGAUAGAGAUGGGCACGCGCAAGAUUAGCUAGUUGGUGAGGUAACGGCUCACCAAGGCGAUGAUCUUUAGGGGGCCUGAGAGGGUGAUCCCCCACACUGGUACUGAGACACGGACCAGAAUCCUACGGGAGGCAGCAGUGAGGAAUAUUGGUCAAUGGGUGCAAGCCUGAACCAGCCAUCCCGCGUGAAGGACGACUGCCCUAUGGGUUGUAAACUUCUUUUGUAUAGGGAUAAACCUACCCUCGAGAGGGUAGCUGAAGGUACUAUACGAAUAAGCACCGGCUAACUCCGUG